CCAGACUCCUACGGGAGGCAGCAGUCGGGAAUAUUGCGCAAUGGAGGAAACUCUGACGCAGUGACGCCGCGUAUAGGAAGAAGGUCUUCGGAUUGUAAACUAUUGUCGUUAGGGAAGAGAAAGGACAGUACCUGGGGAGGAAGCUCCGGCUAACUACGUGCCAGCAGCCGCGGUAAUACGUAGGGAGCGAGCGUUGUCCGGAAUUACUGGGUGUAAAGGGAGCGUAGGCGGGACUGCAAGUUGGGUGUCAAAUCUACCGGCUCAACCGGUAGCCGCACUCAAAACUGCAGUUCUUGAGUGAAGUAGAGGCAGGCGGAAUUCCUAGUGUAGCGGUGAAAUGCGUAGAUAUUAGGAGGAACACCAGUGGCGAAGGCGGCCUGCUGGGCUUUUACUGACGCUGAGGCUCGAAAGUGUGGGGAGCAAACAGGAUUAGAUACCCUGGUAC
rnacentral:rRNA from 1 species